GAAGCCGAAGCGGAGCCGGGCGAGACGCGGACGGUCCCCCCCGAGCAGCAGCCAGAAUUAUUCCAAAGCUGAUUGGGAUUUUCUCAGCGUUCAGCACCGCGUGGUCGGCGUCCAGCUCGCACCGAAGGGUCCCCGCUUACAUGAGCCCUGCGAGGACGUGCGUGUGGGAAAGGAGGUGGGCAUGCCUGGCAUUAAAUUACAAUUAUGCAUGGGUGAAAGUCAAAAAAAAAAUGCAGUUAAUGACUGCAAAUCCUCCCCGCUCUUUACCUCUGCUUUUGGUUAAUUCAAGAGGUCCGCUCGUGUCCUUGAAAAUGAGAAGUUGCGUGUGCUCAGCGCCUCUUUUUUACCAGCGUUUUCCAGGGUUUCCAGCGUUUGGAAGGGGUUAGAGGGAAAAUUGGGCAAUCGGGGAGAAAUAGUCGCUGUAUUUGAGUCCCGUUUUGCCGUGAUUUUGCAGCGUUUUGCAGCUCGUUUGGAGUUGC